rnacentral:rRNA from 1 species
UGGGGAAUAUUGGACAAUGGGCGAAAGCCUGAUCCAGCAAUGCCGCGUGUGUGAAGAAGGUCUUCGGAUUGUAAAGCACUUUCGACGGGGACGAUGAUGACGGUACCCGUAGAAGAAGCCCCGGCUAACUUCGUGCCAGCAGCCGCGGUAAUACGAAGGGGGCUAGCGUUGCUCGGAUUGACUGGGCGUAAAGGGCGCGUAGGCGGUUUGUACAGUCAGACGUGAAAUUCCUGGGCUCAACCUGGGGGCUGCGUUUGAUACGUGCGAGCUUGAGUUCGGAAGAGGGUCGUGGAAUUCCCAGUGUAGAGGUGAAAUUCGUAGAUAUUGGGAAGAACACCGGUGGCGAAGGCGGCGACCUGGUCCGAUACUGACGCUGAGGCGCGAAAGCGUGGGGAGCAAACAGGAUUAGAUACCCUGGUAGUCCACGCCGUAAACGAUGUGCGCUGGAUGUUGGGUGACAUAGUCAUUCAGUGUCGUAGCUAACGCGAUAAGCGCACCGCCUGGGGAGUACGGCCGCAAGGUUG